rfam:Canis lupus familiaris chromosome 6, whole genome shotgun sequence.
ACCUGGCUGGCUCAUUUGGAAGAGCAUGUGACUCUUGAUCUCUGGGUCAUGGGUUCAAGCCCCACAUUAGGUG